rnacentral:snoRNA from 1 species
GGCCAUUGAUGUUAGAUAAUAUUUGCUACUCUUGAUGGUGUUAAAAAUCAUUUGACGACUAUUCACCAAGAUCUCUGAGGCC